rnacentral:lncRNA from 1 species
CCUCUAUCUCCUGCAGAAUCCUGCAUGAGAUGUCCAAUUCUUUUUCAUAGGAUUAUUUCCCUUUGGACAUCAUUAGUUAUUUGUUGUACAAACUUUGAAUGACUUUAACUAACCUUAUGAAAUGUGGGUUUUUUGGGUCAUAGUCUUAAUUGCUAUUCCUCUGUUUGUCUUAUUCAAAACUUAAAAUAUUUGAGAAAUA